rnacentral:tRNA from 1 species
GCCAGCAUGGCAUAGUGGUUUGAGCGUUGGACUACAACUCUGGAGACCAGGGUUCAAUUCCCAGCUCAGCCA